UGCAAAAUACAGAGCUGGGCUUUCCUAAGCAGAACUCUGGGAUCAGCCAGCACAGCUUCAUUUUCAUAUCUUAAGUUCUCAUGUUCAGUUUUGCCACAGUGUCCUUUAUGCUGUGCACUCAAACAGCACAACAAAGAGGAAAUACUGCUUUAAAUGAUCUUGCUGCUCGUCCCGAAUCCACAUAUUGCAAUGCACUGCACAUCGCAGCUAGCAACUCCUGUCGUGCUUUGGCGCAAUAUGCAACGUGGGAUAAUGUAAUAGAGAAGACAAGCACAGCACAAGGCACUGAAAGCCAUAAGAAGCACAGAAAACUUACGUUUCUGGUAUGCAGCAGUACAGAUAUUUGAAAGGGCUGCAUAUGAGAAUGAAACAGCUGGAGAUAUACCUUCACAAAACCCCUUGGGAUGCUUCUUAGUCAUUUCUCCAUUGUAUGCAGUUUUGGUUUAAUAAAUUGGUAAUAAUAUUAUGAUUAAA